UUUGUUACUUCAAACCAAUCGGACUUCGGUCUGACAUCAAGUGAUAUUGAACAAUUUAGCUGAUCGCACGGUCUAAGAACCGGCGACAUAUCCUUCAAAUGUCUGCCUUAUCGACUUUCGAUGGUAGAUUAUGCGCCUACCAUGGUUGUAACGGGUAACGGAGAAUCAGGGUUUGAUUCCGGAGAGGGAGCCUGAGAAACGGCUACCACAUCCAAGGAAGGCAGCAGGCACGCAAAUUACCCACUCCCGGCACGGGGAGGUAGUGACGAAAAAUAACAAGCUGGUCUCAAUGAGUUCCAGCAUUGUAAUGGGAACAAUUUAAAUCUUUUAUCGAGGAUCUAUUGGAGGGCAAGUCUGGUGCCAGCAGCCGCGGUAAUUCCAGCUCCAAUAGCGUAUAUUAAAGUUGUUGCGGUUAAAAAGCUCGUAGUUGGAUCUAGGAUUAGGGCUACGGUCGUUCAGCUUGGACGUACUGUAUGCCCGACUCCUUUUCUCUAGUAUUCGAUUGUUGCUCUUAAAUGAGUGACUUUAGUUGCUGGAACUUUUACCUUGAAAAAAUUGAAGUGCUCAAAGCAGGUU
rnacentral:rRNA from 1 species